CCGCGCUGUAAGCCACCUGAGCACACUCCCUGAAUCCCGGCUUGUCGGCUCUCCAGCAUUGGUUUGAAAAAUGGACAUCCAGACAAUUGUCACUAUAUGUACUCGGGCACAGGAGAAGAUUGGACACUCACUGAACAAUCAGAAAUCUUUCACCAGCACUCUGCAUAUGCAAGUACUGCAAGCAUGUCCACAAUCCGGCAUGCAGUGCAAGCAGUGAUGUGAGUCGUCCACCAUUCUGGAUGUCAGAAUCCAGGGUUGCAAUCAGGGUCUUCUUAUCACAACUUGGCCAAGACGAUUGCACCAGAGGAGGACAGAAAAAGCUAUGAUAUGAUACACAUAUGAUGAAAUACGACAAUGAUAUUGGGUAGAUGCAGGGAAAUGUAUGUUUAGACCAAACCAGAUGGUAGAAGAAUAUCUAGGAGGGAGCAAAGAAAACUUUGAGAUGCAAAGUGAAAAGAGAGAGCACCAAAGAGAGCUCACCAUUUCCACAUUGGCAGCGUACAAGCAGAUAUUUCCAUAACCAUCUCCUGCUCAAAGAUCCUGAAAGUGUGUGGAUCCUUUAUUGAUCUUAUGAGUCACCUAGGAGUUCAUAGAAGUCAUUCCUACCAGAUUUUCAAUCAUAAAAUCAGAAGGCGUAUUGCAAAAUCAAGCAUAUGGCAGUUGUACUAUAUUUAAAAAAUAAGGUAUUACAGUUUGGGUUAUGUUUGUUUUUUAGUGGUCUUUUAAAAUUUCUGCUUUGCAUAAGAAAAUAAUCACAUAAGAAACAUGAUAGA